AGCAUAGCGAUUUGGGAUAAGUCCCUUGGAAGAGGGCAGCAUGGAGGGUGAUACUCCCGUCUCUGCUCAGGUUGUCUGUGUGUACGAUACGCUUUCUUUGAGUCGAGUUGUUUGGGAAUACAGCUCAAAGCAGGUGGUAAAUUCCAUCUAAAGCUAAAUAUUGGUGCGAGACCGGUAGCGAACAAGUACCGUGAGGGAAAGAUGAAAAGAACUUUGAAAAGAGAGUUAAAGAGUACCUGAAACUGUUGAAAGGGAACCGUAUCGUUUCUAGUGUGUAUCCUAUGCAUAUUUCAUUGGCGGUUGUAAAAUUGCUGGAGCCCUGUGUAUGGGUGUGACGUCAGAGUCAGUUUGAAUUGCGGGAGAUGGGUAGUGAGGAGGUGCGUCACUUUUUGUGAAAGUUACAGCUCGCUAUCUAGUAGCCGUGGUUGAGACUGAGGUGCC
rnacentral:rRNA from 2 species